CUUUUAACUUCAUUUGUGGCAUCCUUUAUUAAACAGAUAUCCUUACUUUUUUUUUCUUUUUAAAUAGCCAAACUGAUCUACUUUUGUUUUAUGUGUUUUUGAGUUGGUUUAUAAAAUAUUUCCCUAUCCCUAUAUUGUAGAUAGGUAAGUUAAUUAGAUAUCUUGUAGCCAGGGCCAGCCCACGAGGAGCCAACGUGGAGGAGAGUCAAGGAGGCAACAUGGAGGACAAUCAAGACACAUUCACUGAAGGCCAGCAUUGUAAAAGGAGAAAAACUACCACACCUGCGCUUAUGGUGUGCCACGAUGAUCUCUCCCUCUGUGCCCUUAUAUAUUGACUCAGGAGAUCCAAGACAGAAUCUUUGGACUGAACUACAUCUCCAGCCCUCUUUUUUGUUUUAAAUUCUGAGACAGGGUCUCACUAAAUUGCAGAAUUGCCUGGGUUGAGUUUGAACUGACAGUUCCGCCUCCG
ensembl:lncRNA